UCAAUAAGCGGAGGAAAAGAAACUAACAAGGAUUCCCCUAGUAACUGCGAGUGAAGCGGGAAAAGCUCAAAUUUAAAAUCUGGCGGUCUUUGGCCGUCCGAGUUGUAAUUUAGAGAAGCGUCUUCCGCGCCAGACCGUGCACAAGUCUCCUGGAAUGGAGCGUCAUAGAGGGUGAGAAUCCCGUCUUUGGCACGGACACCUGGUGCUUCUGUGAUGCGCUCUCGAAGAGUCGAGUUGUUUGGGAAUGCAGCUCAAAAUGGGUGGUGAACUCCAUCUAAAGCUAAAUAUUGGCGAGAGACCGAUAGCGAACAAGUACCGUGAGGGAAAGAUGAAAAGCACUUUGGAAAGAGAGUGAAACAGUACGUGAAAUUGUUGAAAGGGAAACGCUUGAAGUCAGUCGCGUCGACCGAGACUCAGCCUUGCCUCGGCUUGGUGUACUUCUCGGCUCGACGGGUCAGCAUCAAUUUUGCUCCUCGGAUAAUGGCAAGGGAAAGGUGGCACCUUUACGGGUGUGUUAUAGUCUCCUGUCGCAUGCGAGGGGUGGGAUUGAGGAACUCAGCACGCACCUUGGUGUCGGGGCUUCUGCCCACGUCACGUGCUUAGGAUGCUGGCGUAAUGGCUUUAAACGACCCGUCUUGAAACA
rnacentral:rRNA from 1 species